GUGAGGUUAUAGCUAAGUGGUAGAGUGCUUGCCUACCAUGUGUGAGGCACUGGGUUCAAUCCUCAGCACCACAUA
rnacentral:tRNA from 1 species